AGCUCCAAUAGCGUAUAUUAAAGUUGCUGCAGUUAAAAAGCUCGUAGUCGGAUUUCUGGGACAGGCCAAGGGUGGCUCGCAAGAGUCUACUCUUGGGAUUGACCCAUCCUCUCGAGGACGGCGUGUGCUCUUCACUGAGUGUGCGGUUGGAUUCGGGACUUUUACUUUGAAAAAAUUAGAGUGUUCAAAGCAGGCCUUUGCUUGAAUAUCUCAGCAUGGAAUAAUGGAAUAGGACUCGGGUUCUAUUUUGUUGGUUUCUAGGACCUAAGUAAUGAUUAAUAGGGAUAGUUGGGGGCAUUCGUAUUUAAUUGUCAGAGGUGAAAUUCUUAGAUUUAUGAAAGACGAACUUCUGCGAAAGCAUUUGCCAAGGAUGUUUUCAUUGAUCAAGAACGAAAGUAGG
rnacentral:rRNA from 1 species